rnacentral:rRNA from 1 species
UACGUAGGCAGCGAGCGUUUGUUCGGAGUUACUGGGCGUAAAGGGUGUGUAGGCGGUUGUUUAAGUUUGGUGUGAAAUCUCCCGGCUCAACUGGGAGGGUGCGCCGAAUACUGAAUGACUUGGAGUGCGGGAGAGGAGAGUGGAAUUCCUGGUGUAGCGGUGAAAUGCGUAGAUAUCGGGAGGAACACCAGUGGCGAAGGCGACUUCCUGGCCUGUUCUUGACGCUGAGGCGCGAAAGCUAGGGGAGCAAACGGG